rnacentral:rRNA from 1 species
GACGAACGCUGGCGGCGUGCUUAACACAUGCAAGUCGAACGGAAAGGCCCUGCUUUUGUGGGGUGCUCGAGUGGCGAACGGGUGAGUAACACGUGAGUAACCUGCCCUUGACUUUGGGAUAACUUCAGGAAACUGGGGCUAAUACCGGAUAGGAGCUCCUGCUGCAUGGUGGGGGUUGGAAAGUUUCGGCGGUUGGGGAUGGACUCGCGGCUUAUCAGCUUGUUGGUGGGGUAGUGGCUUACCAAGGCUUUGACGGGUAGCCGGCCUGAGAGGGUGACCGGCCACAUUGGGACUGAGAUACGGCCCAGACGCCGACGGGAGGCAGCAGUGGGGGAUAGUGCACAAUGGGCGGAAGCCGGAUGCAGCGACGCCGCGUGCGGGGUGACGGCCUUCGGGUUGUAAACCGCGUUCGCCUGUGAUGAAGCGUGAGUGACGGUAAUGGGUAAAGAAGCGCCGGCUAACUACGUG